GCAUGUAAAAUUACACAACACUGGAUGGAAAUGAAGAAAAAUUCACUCUCAAGAGGGCAUUAAUCCUCUCAACUACCCAAUCGCUUCUUAAAACACCAUUUCCCAGCAGCAUUACAAAAGCAAUCACAUUUCCAUGUAAGUUUUAAAAAAGAUGACCCCUAUUCGAUUCCUGCAAUCUCAGGAUGGAUGUUUUGCCAUUUGAAAAUGAAUAACACAUAAAAGGUAGGUUUACUGUAUUCAAGUCAGAUGGAUGAAAGAAUACAUUUUCCUGUUGGUAAAAAUUCUUAUCAAUUUUUCCCUCUACAUGCUUAUACCUUGGUAGCAAUUAAGCAUUUUCUCACAUGCAGGUUUUAUGCUUUGCCUUCCUGAAGGAUUUUGCUUUUCCUUGUUUGCUGAGGGUAGAACCCGGGGCCGCAGGGAUGCAGACCAAACUGCCUCACUGACCAAAUCUCUAGCCCUCUUCUGAGUACUUUCUCUAGUGAGUCUUUUUUUUUUUUUGGAUGAGUAAAUUGAGAUUCAAUUCUAUGGUAGAAAGAUGCAUGUUUUUAGGAAAUGCUCCUAUGGAACAGAAGUCAGACGUUACACAGAAAGUGAGAGACCUUGGAACACAUAACUCUAAAUGGGAUGUUUUUAUCAAAUCCCUCCCCUCAGAGCUCAAGGAACCUUGCUGUAGAGGAGGCAGGAAGAGUGUAAGAGCCAGAAGGGAUGGAGUAAAGUUCGUAAGAACUCACUUAGACUGAAUCAGCAAGCACAGGGCCCACAGGGUCUGCACCAGUAGUGCAAGCUGCACUGAUACGACAAAAAAGGACAGCAUGAGAGAUGGGGAUGGAAGAAAGUUGUCUCUGUGAGUGGGUCCAAACAACAGUGCUCAUCUGGAGCUGCUGUUGAUCAGGACACAACCAGAAGGAGUGCCUCCCAAAGUCCAGACGACUAUCUACAGCUAAAGAAAACCCUACAACCUCUGACAAGCUUGAAGCUGAAGACCCAGAGAGUACAGCAGACCCAAUCCUGUGGGUGCCUCGUGUACCAUCUAGUGGUUUGACAGCUGAAGAUUCCAUGGGCAUCAGAUGAGGGUCUUACUAGAACCAGACAUGUCUUUGGUGUCCCUGAAGGCCUGAUAUUUCCAUGUUUCUGAUCUCUGAUGCCCAGACUCCGGAACAGCUUAAGUGUACAUUUGUGAGUCCUGUGCCUCUGGUUUCUGAGUACAGAGUAUCUGCAACUGGUUCUUGAUAGGUGAUUCGGGUUUGGUUGCUUUUAGAGCAUAUCCAAUAACUGGUAUCUGUUUUCCAAUGUCAUGCAGGACCUUCAUGGAUCCCUGUUACUCUCUUUCCAGUGCAGAGCACUGCCAGUCUCCUCUUGACUGCUGAAGAAGUGCCUUAUUUGACUGCUGCAGUCAGCACAGGCCUCAGGCCAGCCCAGUGCUGCACCCACGGACCUAAGUCCACUUGGCAGCUCUAGUGUGGCACCUGCUGCCACUGACCACCUACUGAUUUUGCCUGAGGAUCCCAUCCACCUACCAGGAUCCGGCCUCUGGUGGGAAGAGAUGUCUGCUGUCUGGAUGGUCACAGCACUGACAUUAUUCAGCUCCCUGUUCCAGCUCCUGAAAGCUGUCCUGACAAAGGCAGUCACCCACAGUUUUCCUGACAGACAGCACUGACAACUGAAGGAGCAACUAAGCAGGUUAGAGCAGAGGGCCAGGAAGAAGGGUCAUAGAAGAAGAUACAUGAUGAACAAAAGUGGAGAACAGACAAAAUGCUACAGAAACCAAAGGAAAGAACCUGUAGCCCCUCCAGAGAGUAGCAACAGCUCUCAGCCUGGUCUCUGAGACCCUCAACCCUGACAGCUGUAAUAUUGGGCACUGAGAAGGGCCAAGGGUCCUAAUAAAUGAGGUUGCAGGAAGACUAUAACACUAAUGGGUACCGAGGCCCACUGGUUUUACAUAACUUUUGCUGCCACCCACACUGCCAAACACUGAGGGGGAACAAAGGCUGCUAUAGCUGAGCAUUUGAGGGGUUCCCUGUCUAUCCAUGAUUUCUACUCAAGUGGAACCUGCAGCCAGAUCAUUAGUGAUACUUGUGUUAAUGGUGUUCAGUUUCUCCUAACCCAAUGGCCAAUAGUCAAACCAAGCCCAGCCUUGGCAUGGGCAGUAGCUGAAAGGCUGUGGCAAAGCCUUUGCUGUUGGCAAAGUGAUCUGCCAACCAGUGUUUGAGAGAUAGUUGAAGCUCUACUUCCUUCAGAGGCAAAGAUGAGUUAUAACCAGCUAUAACUCAAGAUAAUUUAACCACACUCAAAAAUCACCCACAUGAUUACCCGUGGCACUAAAGAACAAAUUUGGGUGUGGCUGAAAGAAGACACUCUACAUCCCAAUGAAAAAUGAAUUUAAGUCAAAAUAUGUGAUAAGAGAUGAUAAUUUAUGCAAAUUAUUCAAGACUUAAUUUUAGCAAAAGGAGAUGGUUGGUCUAGGUCUUUGGGGGGCUUGGAAAGAAAGAGAAAGUUAAGUAUAUCAGCAAUGUAUGUAUUCAGAGGAAAGUAGGAAGGGCUGCAGGGGGCAGGAGGCAGGGAGGGCCUCAUGAUGGAAAAGGGAAUGGAAGUCACAUACACACACACAUGCAUGCACACACAUAUGGGUACACAUAUGCACAUAUGUGUAUACAAAUGCACACAUGUAUGCACAACACGCAUAUACACAUACAUUCAAAUACACCCUCACACACAGUAUAGAUGUUUAAAUGCUGCUAAUCACUAUUUUAGAAGGCAUAUGAUUUUCAGACUUUGUUUUUUUUUUUAAACGAGUUUGUAUCUUCUAAAUUGUUAAAGAAAAAGGAAAAAAAAAGUAUUAAAAGGAUUUUUGGAAAAAUAGAAGAAGAGAAUCUUUUUCCCCCCCCAGAGUGUGAUAUUAGAUUUCAUUUCUCCUCACAAUGUGUUAAAAGUUUCAAAAGUGGCUCUCAGCCCUUUUAAUUGCUGGCUACAUAAUGGAUCUACAACAGUAUGUAUGCCACAUUCGGGGGUUGGGGGUCACCGAACUGUGCCCUGAGGCAGAGGUAGUGGUCUCUUGAGGAUAAAGGGAGAAACCUCCAGAAGGGCAUGUGAUUUGUAUUGCUACUUGAGCAGCUGUGGGCCUAGGGCAGCAUCACUGGGACCCACAGGCCUAAUGAAUCAAGCUCUGGAGUUUGCUUUUGGAGAUCAUGUUUUUGAAACACUCUAGCUGACUCUGUUGCUUUUGAAUUAUGAGACCACAGAGUUAUGGAUGCACAGACAAUGCAAAAAAAAAUAAGGUGAGGUCAAAGGGGAAGAAGUGUUUUUUUUUUUUUCUCUUUUCUACAUCAGAGACUCAUGUGUCCAACAGUUACUAGCUAUUUUAUGUUUCAUGAUUUCGAGUGACCAAUGGAUCUUAGCAUUUUUAUCACAAAGCUGUUUUGUUCUUCCCACUCUCCUGUCUAGAGCAGGAUGUCUCAGCAUGGCACUGUAGGCAGCUUGUGCCAGAUAAUUUGUCAUGGGAGGCGAUCCUGUUUGCAGUAGGGCUUUAGCAGCCUCCUAGGCUUCUACCCACUUGAUGCUAUUAGCAUUCUCUCAUUAGCAACAACCAAAUAUUAUGUAGGCACAGUCAAAUGUCCCCUAGGAGGCAAAAUCAUCCCAGUUGAAAACCACCAGUUGGAAAAAAAUCAAAACUCAAGUAAGGCAUACUUAUUAAGUAAUAGUAUAUUUCCUUGUUUUUAUUAAUACAAACAUAUAUAACUGUCAGUUAGAACAUGGAAGGAUAGGGUUUCUUGGCUCCAUGUGGUUAGUCUCUAAUAUGUUGAUCAAGAGUGGUGGUAACAGUUCUUUAAAAUUUUUGUUUUGUUUCUGUCAUAAGGAAUCAUAGAUAAUCUAUUUGUUAUUCAAAUAUUAAAUAUAAUGUAGUAUAGAAAGUGUGCAGCAAUUUGGUGAAGAGUAUUCAAUAAAACAUACUGCUAUAA